GACGAACGCUGGCGGCGUGCUUAACACAUGCAAGUCGAACGGAAAGGCCCUGCUUUUGUGGGGUGCUCGAGUGGCGAACGGGUGAGUAACACGUGAGUAACCUGCCCUUGACUUUGGGAUAACUUCAGGAAACUGGGGCUAAUACCGGAUAGGAGCUCCUGCUGCAUGGUGGGGGUUGGAAAGUUUCGGUGGUUGGGGAUGGACUCGCGGCUUAUCAGCUUGUUGGUGGGGUAGUGGCUUACCAAGGCUUUGACGGGUGGCCGGCCUGAGAGGGUGACCGGCCACAUGGGGACUGAGAUACGGCCCAGACUCCUACGGGAGGCAGCAGUGGAGAAUAUUGCACAAUGGGCGGAAGCCUGAUGCAGCAACGCCGCGUGCGGGAUGACGGCCUUCGGGGUGUAAACCGCUUUCGCCUGUGACGAAGCGUGAGUGACGGUAAUGGGUAAAGAAGCACCGGCUAACUACGUG
rnacentral:rRNA from 1 species